AUGAGAUAGUUAUCUUUACCAUUCAAUGAGAGAGGUAAAUAUUUAAUGUCAGUGAAACAUAAUACGUCCGUCCCAUUGUUCAGUCAAAUAUACAGUCAGGUACAAGAAUUCCUUGAAGGAAAACAUUCUUAUGUUACUGGUUUCCUAUAGACGCAUCUGCUUUUAUUUCUGCACCUUUGCUGUCUUUCUAUCUGUAAACGUGCAUUCUAGGCUUCUCUUGAUGUUAAACAGGUGAAGUUUAUGUACUCGAUGAUGGCGGAGAGGUGGAUCUGGAUUUGGGUAAUUACGAACGCUUCCUGGACAUCACUCUUCAUAGAGACAAUAACAUAACAACUGGAAAAAUUUAUCAAUAUGUCAUUACGAAGGAGAGACGGGGAGAUUACUUAGGAAAAACAGUACAAGUGGUGCCCCAUAUUACAGAUGCUAUUCAGGAAUGGGUAGAGAGAGUCGCAAAUCAAUCUGUAACAGAAGAUGGAACUAAACCAGAGGUUUGCAUAUUGGAAUUGGGAGGCACAAUAGGGGAUAUAGAGGGAAUGCCAU